rnacentral:pre_miRNA from 1 species
UUCAUUUUUUACGUUGAAUGCCACAUGUCGUGCUUUCAUUGGAUGCUGAUUAGGUGCACAAAAUUCAAUCUCCAAUAAGAGCAUGACACGUGGUGGUCAACGUAA